rnacentral:rRNA from 1 species
GAUGAACGCUGGCGGCGUGCUUAACACAUGCAAGUCGAACGGGAAUUAUUUUAUUGAAACUUCGGUCGAUUUAAUUUAAUUCUAGUGGCGGACGGGUGAGUAACGCGUUGGUAACCUGCCUUAUACAGGGGGAUAACAGUCAGAAAUGGCUGCUAAUACCGCAUAAGCGCACAGAGCUGCAUGGCUCAGUGUGUAAAACUCCGGUGGUAUAAGAUGGACCCGCGUUGGAUUAGCUUGUUGGCAGGGUAACUGCCUACCAAGGCGACGAUGCAUAGCCGGCAUGAGAGGGUGAACGGCCACAUUGGGACUGAGACACGGACCAGACCCCUACGGGACGCAGGAGUGGGGAAUAUUGCACAAUGGGGGAAACUCUGAUGCAGCGGCGCCGCGUGAAGGAAGAAGUAUCUCGGUAUGUAAACUUCUAUCAGCAGGGAAGAUAGUGACGGUACCUGACUAAGAAGCACCGGCUAACUACGUG